rnacentral:rRNA from 1 species
UGACGUCAAGUCCUCAUGGCCUUACGGGCUGGGCUACACACGUGCUACAAUGGCGGUGACAAUGGGACGCAAAGGAGCAAUCCCUAGCAAAUCUCAAAAAGCCGUCUCAGUUCGGAUUGUUCUCUGCAACUCGAGAGCAUGAAGUUGGAAUCGCUAGUAAUCGUGGAUCAGCAUGCCACGGUGAAUACGUUCCCGGGCCUUGUACACACCGCCCGUCACACCAUGGGAGUUGGUUCUACCUGAAGGCGGUGCGCUAACCCGCAAUGGAGGCAGCCGACCACGGUAGGGUCAGCGACUGGGGUGAAGUCGUAACAAGUAGCCGUAA